rnacentral:rRNA from 1 species
AGAAUCAACGCUGGCGGCGUGCCUAACACAUGCAAGUCGAACGAGAAAGUGGAGCAAUCCAUGAGUAAAGUGGCGCACGGGUGAGUAACACGUGACUAACCUACCCUUGAGUGGGGGAUAACCUAGAGAAAUCUGGGCUAAUACCGCAUAAUACCUUCGGGUCAAAGGAGCAAUUCGCUUAAGGAGGGGGUCGCGGCCGAUUAGUUAGUUGGCGGGGUAAUGGCCCACCAAGACGAUGAUCUGUA